UAUAUUUAUUACAGUUUGUUUUUAGUACUUCAGCUUAUUUCAGUGAGUUGCCAAGGCAGUGUUUUUGAUGUUCGUGAAGUUUUUGUUUCAGUGAGCUGAAGCGAUGGAGCUGAUGAGUCGUGAUGGAGCAGUUAAAUCUGUGCUGUGUUUGUAUCACGCAGUAAUCUGGUGGCGGCGUACGAGAAAGCCAAGAAGAAGCACCAGAACAAGCUGAAGAAGCUGGAGUCUCAGAUGAUGGCGAUGGUGGAGCGGCACGAGACGCAGGACGACAGAAGCACUUUUCCACAGUCUGCUGGACCGGAUCACCACAUUGCCUUCUUACGGACGAGUAUUUAUUUCUCCCUCUCCUGCGAAACAUCAACGAGACCUCAAACUCACGUUUUUAUACGAUCCUGCGACUGUUUACACGCUCGAGCUCCAAAGCAGCUCGUAAAACACAGAUCUAGUGAAGACGGUGAUAAUUAUGCAUAAACAGCUUUCAUAUUUCUCAGACUUUUAAGUGCUUGAUAUUUGAUUCAUGGUGAAAUAUUCAAUGCAAUAGAAAUGCUUUUCUCUCGUUCGAGGCGCUGUUAAAGGAACAGAACUACUUUAAUGUGAACAAGCAUUUAAUACAAGAAUCCAUUAUUCAUAAUGCAGGUCUAUUGAUCUGCAUCUGUGACUUCAUGCUUGACGAUCAAAUGUCAUUUUCAUGGUCUUUCUUUGUGCAUCAGGAAGUAAAGGAAUGAACAGAGGGAUCGAUUAUGAGACAUAUGUGCGAUGCUUGUCCUUCCUUUCGUGAAAAGUAUAUGCAUUUCCAUAAACGAUGGGCUGGAGAAACUAUAAAGGGUUUGUGAAUUGUACUUAAUUUGCACAGAUCUGUUUAUGAAUCAAAUCUUUGCAAUCAUUUUGUUUUAUUUUAAUACAGAAUGUAUUUGUUUAUAUAAUAAAGAAAUAAUGCAACACUUUAUGUUAAUGGCUCCUGUCAUAUUUUACUGCCAGACGUUUUACUCACUUUUAUUCUUGAAAUAUUCAACAGAAAUGUAGGUCGAGGUUCAUUGAUGGAAUGGUGAAAUAUUAGUGUUGUGAACAUUUUU
rnacentral:lncRNA from 1 species